UAGGGAAUCUUCCGCAAUGGGCGAAAGCCUGACGGAGCAACGCCGCGUGAGUGAUGAAGGUCUUCGGAUCGUAAAACUCUGUUAUUAGGGAAGAACAAAUGUGUAAGUAACUAUGCACGUCUUAACGGUACCUAAUCAGAAAGCCACGGCUAACUACGUGCCAGCAGCCGCGGUAAUACGUAGGUGGCAAGCGUUAUCCGGAAUUAUUGGGCGUAAAGCGCGCGUAGGCGGUUUUUUAAGUCUGAUGUGAAAGCCCACGGCUCAACCGUGGAGUGUCAUUGGAAACUGGAAAACUUGAGUGCAGAAGAGGAAAGUGGAAUUCCAUGUGUAGCGGUGAAAUGCGCAGAGAUAUGGAGGAACACCAGUGGCGAAGGCGACUUUCUGGUCUGUAACUGACGCUGAUGUGCGAAAGCGGGGGGAUCAAACAGG
rnacentral:rRNA from 1 species